rnacentral:rRNA from 1 species
GAUGAACGCUGGCGGCAGGCCUAAUACAUGCAAGUCGAACGGGAUUCGGGGGCUUGCUCCCGAUGAGAGUGGCGCACGGGUGCGUAACGCGUGAGCAACCUGCCCAUGUCCGGGGGACAGCCCGGGGAAACCCGGAUUAAACCCGCAUAAUACGACAGGAUCGCAUGGUUUUGUUGUUAAAUAUUUAUAGGACAUGGAUGGGCUCGCGUGGCAUUAGCUUGUCGGUGGGGUAACGGCCCACCGAGGCGACGAUGCCUAGGGGCCCUGAGAGGGGAAUCCCCCACACCGGUACUGAGACACGGACCGGACUCCUACGGGAGGCAGCAGUAGGGAAUAUUGGUCAAUGGGCGGAAGCCUGAACCAGCCAUGCCGCGUGCGGGACGAAGGCCCUACGGGUCGUAAACCGCUUUUGUACGGGAACAGUCCCCUUUACGCGUAGAGGGUCGAGGGUACCGUGCGAAUAAGGAUCGGCUAACUCCGUGCCAGCAGCCGCGGUAAUACGGAGGAUCCGAGCGUUAUCCGGAUUUAUUGGGUUUAAAGGGUGCGCAGGCGGCCCGAUAAGCAGGGGGUGAAAUACGGCGGCCCAACCGCCGGGCUGCCCCCUGAACUGUUGGGCUUGGAUCGCGUUGGAGGCGGCGGAAUGGGGCAAGUAGCGGUGAAAUGCUUAGAUAUGCCCCGGAACACCGAUCGCGAAGGCAGCUGCCUAAGCGUGGAUCGACGCUGAUGCACGAAAGCGUGGGGAUCGAACAGGAUUAGAUACCCUGGUAGUCCACGCCGUAAACGAUGAUAACUCGGUGCCGGCGAUACACGGUCGGUGCCCAAGCGAAAGCGUUAAGUUAUCCACCUGGGGAGUACGGCCGCAAGGCUGAAACUCAAAGGAAUUGACGGGGGCCCGCACAAGCGGAGGAGCAUGUGGUUUAAUUCGAUAGUACGCGAGGAACCUUACCCGGGCUUGAAUGUUAGCGAAGGGGCCAGAGAUGGUUCCGUUCUUUGGGACGCGAAACUAGGUGCUGCAUGGCUGUCGUCAGCUCGUGCCGUGAGGUGUUGGGUUAAGUCCCGCAACGAGCGCAACCCCUGCGGACAGUUGCCAUCAGGUUAUGCUGGGGACUCUGUCCGGACUGCCCGCGCAAGCGCGGAGGGAGGUGGGGACGACGUCAAGUCAUCAUGGCCCUUACGUCCGGGGCUACACACGUGCUACAAUGGGGGGGACAGCGGGAAGCACCGUGUAAACGGGCGCAGAUCCCGAAACCCUCCCCCAGUUCGGAUCGGGGCCUGCAACUCGGCCCCGUGAAGUUGGAUUCGCUAGUAAUCGCGCAUCAGCAAUGGCGCGGUGAAUACGUUCCCGGGCCUUGUACACACCGCCCGUCAAGCCAUGGGAGCCGGGGGCGCCUGAAGGACGUUGCCGCAAGGAUCGUACUAGGGCAUUACCGGUGACUGGGGC